CAAUAGCGUAUAUUAAAGUUGUUGCGGUUAAAAAGCUCGUAGUUGGAUUUCUGCCGAGGACGACCGGUCCGCCCUCCGGGUGAGUAUCUGGCUCGGCCUGGGCAUCUUCUUGGAGAACGUAACUGCACUUGGCUGUGUGGUGCGGUAUUCAGGACUUUUACUUUGAGGAAAUUAGAGUGUUUCAAGCAGGCACACGCCUUGAAUACAUUAGCAUGGAAUAAUAAGAUAGGACCUCGGUUCUAUUUUGUUGGUUUCUAGAUCUGAGGUAAUGAUUAAUAGGGAUAGUUGGGGGCAUUCGUAUUUAACUGUCAGAGGUGAAAUUCUUGGAUUUGUUAAAGACGGACUACUGCGAANGNAUUUGCNAAGGAUGUUUNCAUUG
rnacentral:rRNA from 1 species